UGAAGAAGAAGAAGAAGGUUUUAGAUUUUCAUUUGACACAUUUCUAUCCUCUUCUUCACCUUCCUUAUUGUUGUCCUCCCCAAUCUUAUUGUCUAUUAUACGUCCACUCCUUAGGGUAGUUAAAGCAUUGGCUUGUUCAUGAUGAAUUUCAUUUAAUUGAUUUUCUUGAGCCAUGUAUUGUCCCCUAGGAUUACUUAGUGGUUGGCUUGGAAGCUUUCCUUCCUCUCGCUUGUUCAGUGCAUUAGCUAGUUGCCCCAUCUAGGAUUCUAGCUUGGCGAUUGAUUGCGUGUGAGAGUGCACCAAUAGUGUAAUGGUUUCCAAACCUUGAAGGGCGUUCAACACUUUCUCCUCAAAGGCUGUGUUUCUUUGGGGUGGAGGAGGAGUGUGUUGAAAUUGAAUCGAGGGACGGUAGGGAUGAAUAUGUUGUGGGGUUUGAAAAUUCUGAGGAUUUUGAAAAUUUUGGGAAUAGGGUUGGGCUGUGUUCGAAGCUUGCUGCUUCCAAGAAAAAUUAGGAUGAUUCCACCAUCCCGGAUUAUAUGUA
rnacentral:lncRNA from 1 species